CUGUUUCACAUGGAGAAAUGGAAAAGUGAAAUUGGAUAAAAAAAAAAAAGGUAGAAUCUUAUAUUCCCUAGGUUGACAAGUUAAAGAUUUAUCUCUUUAGUGUUUUUUUCUAAUUGUAGUUGAUUACAAUGUACUUUGUCACUCCAAAUUCCUUUCACCAGCCCAUCUAUUGACUAAUUUUUUUUCCAGGCUAGAAAAUGAAUCAGAUUUUGUCCUGUCGCAGCAGAAGGAAAUAGAAGAUCGGUCCCUUUAGAGGAGUCUUUGAAGGACCAGAGUAGUUCUGUUUAUCAGAAAUAUGAAGACGGGGAGCAUGCGAGGACCUCCAGCAGAUUAGCGGAAUUCUGAAUGCAAUUAUGGACUCUCUAGAGUGGCUUAGCCAGAAUUCAGGCAUGCUGCAAAGGAAGGCAGAAGAGGUAACACAGGUUUUCCAGGAUCAUCUUCACAAGGAGCAAGAACACAAUGCCAGGAUGGCUUUUAGUUAAAUGAUCAUGUCUUCAGCGUGUUAUUUUUGGUUUAUAAAUUAUCUACAAAUUUUGAUGACAUUAAAUGUAGUAGUAGUACAUUAUAUACAAUAGGUAUAUAAUGUUUGGUUGCAAUAAAGUAUGUAUGUGUUUAGGGUGUUUUUUUUCUAUUUAAAGAUUGUGCUGUUGAGAAUUGUACUGUAGUUUGGCUUUUAGUAUUAGCAAAUCAAAGCUAUAUUAACCUUUUUGUCUAGGAAGCAGCCUGUUAGAUGUUGACUCUGUUUUGUAAUUAAGUAAUAUAUCCAGUAUCACAGUAUAGUGCUGUUUAUAUAAAAUUUUAGUUUGCAUAAAUUAGAUAUAUGUAUGCUGCUUCUUGAUUUAGGCAAGUUAUAGCACCUAAUCUGUUAUUCCCACUCCUCCAUUAUUUUUGUGUAUAUUAAAAACUAUAUGUCAAGAUUUUCAAAUUAUCAUUUAGAAGCAGGUUUCCCUUGUAGAAAAACAAAUUUUCCUGCCAUUUACCAAAAGUAAACUCUUGGAGGAAGAAAAAAAAAACUGUAUCACAGACAAUUACUUGCCAAAAAAUAAAUGCCAGCAAGUCUUCAGGUACCUGUUGUGAAGUAGUAGUAUAUACUAUAAAGUCUCUCUCCUCAAAGAAAGUUUCUAUCUAGCUUGAGAUGUAAUUAAUACCUAUCUGUAUAGAAAUAAUAUAGACAAUACAAGGGAGUGUGGAGUGAGUCACAGAAAGUGUGCUAUAGAAAAAUCUGAGAUGGGAGGAAGAGUUAAAGUGGAUUUGGGACUUGAAUUAGGUUAUUUUUGAAAUGCCAAGGUUCAGGCAAUUUGCUUAUUUUUUAUGUACAGUUAUGCUGGUGUUUGACUUGGUUUUAGCAUAUGAUUCAUAGUUAUUCAUUUCUAUAUUUGUUCAUUUGUUUUUCAAGAAAAAAAACUUGUUCUUAGCUUGAGAAUAAUCUGAUCUCUUGUGUUUCAUGUUUGACCUAAGUCACAAAUAAUGGUGAUAUCCUAAAAAAUAAAAGUAUAACACUAAAAUAAACUACUUGAAAGUUUUUUAGUGGCUAGUACUUAGUUUUCUAGAAUUACUGAGCUGAAUUUCUGUUGUACUGAAUGUACAUGACCAUCCUGAGGGGUACAUAUUAAGGGAAAAAUAUUUUUCAAAUGAGUAGUAGUAAUUUUCAUCACCUAUGAGUAAACUAAAUAUCAGAACGUACCCAAACUUUUUUCUACCCAAACUUUUCAAAUUAGCAGCUUCUUAUUAGGUAAGUUUUUGUUCCCACUCAAAAAUAUAAAAUAUGAAAAUAAUCUAGACACUAAUUUUGUGAAUGAUUUCUGUGGGUAAAGCGCUUUAGAAUAUAAUCUUGUUAUUUUAUUUUUGAGUCUAGUAUUAUUAAAUGGUAUUAUACCCUAGAUGGAGUCAUUUUAGUAUUGUUUUUGGAGAGCCAACUCCAGUAAGAUAGACUUUUCAUAAAUUAAGUUCCACAUUCAGUAUUGGAAUAAAUACUGGAUUUUGUCUUGAUGCUUCUAAAUCAACUAGACAAUUUCAUUUGGACAUUAUAUUUUCUCUAUAACAUGAAAAAGUUGGACUAUGUGAAGUUUUUCCCAACUG